rnacentral:rRNA from 1 species
GUGCCAGCCGCCGCGGUAAUACGAACCGUCCAAACGUUAUUCGGAAUCACUGGGCUUAAAGGGUUUGUAGGCGGCCACGCAAGUGGGGUGUGAAAUCCCUCGGCUCAACCGAGGAAUUGCGCUCCAAACUGUGUGGCUUGAGGGAGACAGGGGUAAGCGGAACUGAUGGUGGAGCGGUGAAAUGCGUUGAUAUCAUCAGGAACACCGGUGGCGAAAGCGGCUUACUGGGUCUCUUCUGACGCUGAAAAACGAAAGCUAGGGUAGCGAACGGGAUUAGAAACCCCGGUAGUCC